UACUUUCACAAUUUACUUGAAGAUAAACUGAGGCUCAGAGUGGUUACUUUCCAGAGUUGGCAAGUAGCAAAAGUAGGAUAUAAAGUUAGUCUUUAUUCUAGACCUUUCGCUGUUUAUACCUCGUCAUGCUGUUUUAUCUCACCAAAUAGGGAGAAGAGGUAGAUUGUUCUAAAGAGUAAUUUGGACAUGAUGAGAUUUCUGCAUAGAAAUAUAUUGUAUCCUGCAAAGAAAUGAGAUUUUUUCAUAAACCCCAUGACAAUAGAUAUUAUUUUAGAUUCAGGCAAGUGUAUGCAAAUUUAAUUUCUAAGGGUUUUUUUCCCCCUAAUAUGAGAGAAUUUAACUAUUUAAAGAAAACCUGUGAUGAACUCUGGCAGUGUCUCCUUCAGUCACCGCCUCUAGCAGACCAUACUGUCUAAAGGUAAAUGGUUUGCCUCAGAGCCAAGGCCUUGAGAUAUCCUUAUAUUCAGCUGAAUUCAACCAUUGGACAGAUACUAAAAGAAAUGAUUUCUAGAGUCCUAAGAUCCAUUGCUUCUAAUUUGGGAAAAAUGUUAUUCUUGGGUAACCAUUUGUUUACAUCUGAAAAAUGACAAGAAAUUGGAACAAAUGGGCAGUUUUCGGAACAGAGAAAAGGUAAUGAUGGGAAUCCUCAACAAAUACAUUUACUUAAAACUUUUUGUGAUAUACAAAGGAAUUGCAUAGAGAAACCUAUAUGUUUUCAGGUUCAUACACAGCCCUUCCUAGUGGUAAAAUGUGAAUCAGCAGGGAAAAAUGCAGGAAGCCAUCAGAACAUGGGAGCGUCACUUUGGCAAAACUAAAAUAAUACUUUUUUGGAAAAUUUAGCCAAAAAUUUAGAAAAAGCAUUGGUUUUGUACCAUCAUUUAUGUUUCAUAGUGAAAAUUCAUUGUAAACUAUUCUCCAAAGAUAUGAGCCUAACGUGCCACAGAAGUAAAGCAUAACAACCACACAGCAGGUCUUAUCAAGAAGGAAAAUAAGAAACAAAGACGCAAGAAACUCCAGAUCCUUAGAGACAAAAGAACCCCUAUAGACACCUAUAUUAACUACUUCUUGAAAUUCUCCUCC
rnacentral:lncRNA from 1 species